GAUGAACGCUAGCGGCAGGCUUAACACAUGCAAGUCGAGGGGCAGCAUAUCUAGCUUGCUAGAUGAUGGCGACCGGCGCACGGGUGCGUAACGCGUAUACAAUCUACCUAUCACUGAGGGAUAGCCCGAAGAAAUUUGGAUUAACACCACAUAGUAUUAUAGAGUCUCCUGAUUUUAUAAUUAAAGUUUACGGUGAUAGAUGAGUAUGCGUCCUAUUAGCUAGAUGGUAAGGUAACGGCUUACCAUGGCUACGAUAGGUAGGGGUCCUGAGAGGGAGAUCCCCCACACUGGUACUGAGACACGGACCAGACUCCUACGGGAGGCAGCAGUGAGGAAUAUUGGACAAUGGGCGCAAGCCUGAUCCAGCCAUGCCGCGUGUAGGAAGACGGCCCUAUGGGUUGUAAACUACUUUUGUACGGGAAGAAAUCUUUUUACGUGUAGAAAGUUGACGGUACCGUAAGAAUAAGCACCGGCUAACUCCGUGCCAGCAGCCGCGGUAAUACGGAGGGUGCAAGCGUUAUCCGGAAUCAUUGGGUUUAAAGGGUCC
rnacentral:rRNA from 1 species